rnacentral:lncRNA from 1 species
AUUUGAGGAUUUUGGGUGGAUUUUGGGUGGAUUUUGGCCUUUUCCAGGCGCCCCCUCCCUGGCCCGCUGCCGCCGCCUCGGCCGCCGCCGCGAGGAAAAAGCCGAACUCGCCGCCCUCGACGCCUCCAACAUUUUACCCGCGAGAUCCCGGCGGAGAAACCCCGAAAAUGCCCCAAAAUCGGCCCCGAAAUCGCCGCUGCCCCCCCCGGAUUGGUCGCGGCUCCGCGGCGUCGUCAGCUCCGACAGCGAGUGAAGUAUUUCCUGGUCCUGAGGAAGAGCCCCGGGGGCCGCUUGGGGCUCUGGGGGCCCUCGGGGGGGAAGAGGUCCCGGCCGGUUCUCAGGAUUUGCUCCUCCAGUUUCUUGUGGCGCUUCAUGUCCGACAGCACCUUGUCCAGCCGCGCCUCGCGCUUCUGCCCGCGGCUCGGGGGGCCUGGAUUGGGGGAAAAUUCACAAAUUUGGGGCAAAAUUCACAAAUUUGGGAACUUUUGGGAGGCCUCGAAUCGUCCCCAGAAUGG